UACCAUGGAGCUUCCUGUAGCUGGGUUGAUAAUCGCAGCAUGCAUUGCAAUCGUGGCACAUCCUGCCGCAUGCGCGGUGACUAUCCCAUUAGGAAUAGAUGAUGAAUGCCCUGUAAGGUACCCGGUCGGAGUAGGAGAGUGCGCUGCUUUCGGAUUUCCAGUUCCGGCUGGGAAAAGCAAGGCCCUCCCAUUUCCUUGCGUAAUGGUUGAAUGCAGUUCAAGUGGACAGGAAAUUACAGUCCGAGGGUGUCCGAAUAAGCGAGAAGUUUGUGAAAAGCCCUCGAUUCCCGUGAUAGCGGACGCACCAUGGCCGCACUGCUGUAAACUGUGUAAAUCAACUUCGACUAAGCCUGCAGAUAAAUUACCUUAAUCAGGAGCAGAAUACAAAACAGAAAGGUUGCGUCUCGUUAACCCCCCGCUUUUCAUCUCUCUUUCGCUAUCUCUGUCUAAAAUUGUCUGUAAUAUCAGACAUUUUUUACAGCAUGGAAGAAAGGCGAUAUGAUCACUUUUUAGAAUUCU